CAUGCAAGUCGAACGAUUAAGACUCUCUUCGGAGAGUGUAUAGAGUGGCGCACGGGUGAGUAACACGUAGGUAAUUUGCCUUCGGGUGGGGAAUAACUUGAGGAAACCCAAGCUAAUACCGCAUAAUGCAGCGGCACCAAAUGGUGACAGUUGUUAAAGCUUUAUGUGCCUGAAGAGAAGCCUGCGGUGGAUUAGGUAGUUGGUAAGGUAAUGGCUUACCAAGCCUGCGAUCCAUAUCCGGUCUUAGAGGACGGUCGGACACACUGACACUGAAUAACGGGUCAGACUCCUACGGGAGGCAGCAGUCGGGAAUUUUGGGCAAUGGGCGAAAGCCUGACCCAGCAACGCCGCGUGAAGGAUGAAGUCCUUCGGGAUGUAAACUUCGGAAGAAUGGGAAGAAUAAAUGACGGUACCAUUUUUAAGCCCCGGCUAACUCCGUGCCAGCAGCCGCGGUAAUACGGAGGGGGCAAGCGUUGUUCGGAUUUACUGGGCGUAAAGGGCGCGUAGGCGGCGCAACAAGUCACUUGUGAAAUCUCCGGGCUUAACUCGGAACUGCCAAGUGAUACUGUAGUGCUAGAGUGCAGAAGGGGCAAUCGGAAUUCUUGGUGUAGCGGUGAAAUGCGUAGAUAUCAAGAGGAACACCAGAGGCGAAGGCGGAUUGCUGGGCUGACACUGACGCUGAGGCGCGAAAGCUAGGGUAGCAAACGGGAUUAGAUACCCCGGUAGUCCUAGCCUUAAACGAUGAAUGUUUGGUGUCUGGAGUUUGAGUCUCCGGGUGCCGUCGCUAACGCUGU
rnacentral:rRNA from 1 species